UACGUACUGCCUCCGUCCAACAAAAAAUGUCUUAAGUUUGUCAAAAUUUGGAUGUAUCUAGCCAUGACUUCAUGUAUAGAUGCAUUCAAAUUUAAUCAAAAUUGAGACAUCUUUUAUUGGACAGAUGAAGUACUUA
rfam:Brachypodium distachyon strain Bd21 chromosome 5, whole genome shotgun sequence.